AGAGUUUGAUCCUGGCUCAGAUUGAACGCUGGCGGCAUGCCUUACACAUGCAAGUCGAACAGCAGCACGGGAGCAAUCCUGGUGGCGAGUGGCGAACGGGUGAGUAAUACAUCGGAACGUGCCCUGUAGUGGGGGAUAACUAGUCGAAAGACUAGCUAAUACCGCAUACGACCUGAGGGUGAAAGUGGGGGACCGCAAGG
rnacentral:rRNA from 1 species